AAUGAUUUAUUUUAAUGGCCGCGGUAUAUUGACCGUGCAAAGGUAGCAUAAUAAUUAGCUUAUUGAUUGUGAGCUUGAAUGAAUGGUUGGACGAAAUAUUGACUGUCUCGUAUUUAUUAUUAGAAUUUAAUUUCUGAGUUAAAAAGCUUAGAUUUUUUUAAGGGACGAGAAGACCCUAUAGAUCUUUAUUUUCUUUAUUUGUUUUUUUUUGUAUCUAUUUAAAAUGUUGAAUUUUUAGUUGGGGUGAUUUUGAGAUAUAAUUAACUCUUUAUUUUUUUUUUCAUUUAUUUAUGUUUAUUUGACCUUUUAUUAUUGUUUAUAANAUUAANAUACCUUAGGGAUAACAGCGUAAUUCUUUUUAANAGUUCUUAUUGACNAA
rnacentral:rRNA from 1 species